rnacentral:tRNA from 1 species
GGAGAGGUACCGAAGUGGUCGUAACGGGCUCGACUCGAAAUCGAGUUAGGGGCCAAAAGCCUCUACGCGGGUUCGAAUCCCGCCCUCUCCGCCA